CAGUCCAAAAACUUGUACCCACAGAUGCACUGGAGUCUGCUGCAUCUUUUGGCAUAGGCCACGCCCAUUUGCGUCUAUAAUUUUUUUUCGCUAAAUCGCGAAAACCGCAAAACUGUAUUUUCGCUACUCCUCGCACAUUUCUUGACCAAUUGACACAAAACUUUGCACAUGGCAUCUUCAGACGCACACGCAAAGAAAUCCUCGGUCACUUUUUUGAUCCGACCUUCGUCGACGAAACGGUUGCGUUUUGAAUAUUGGUUUAUUAGCUACGUUUUACGUGGAAAAUCAAAAAUCAAAAUAAAAUCCAGCAUUAGACAUCGGAUCAAGUCCAAAUUUUACACACAUGUCUGUGCUAACCUUAACGGCGUUUGCUAAAAAAAAUCGGAAAAUUACGCCCUAAGGGGGCGCAAUAAACGAGGAAAUUGUAUAUCUUCUAAUUGGCCAAAGGAAUGUUCUUCAAACUCAAGGGAAACCAUCAAGGGGCAAACCCGAGUCUAUAUAGAAAAUAUGGCCAAGAAUUAUUAAUGUGGGCGGGAGUUAUUUGGCAAAGGAAAAUUGUCUUUUGAAAAUUUCGCCAACAGGGCGGCGCCAAAAAACGACGACAUUGUACAUCUCCUAUUUGGCCAAUGGAAUGUUCUGAAAACGCGUUUUAGGCUAUAACUCCCACACCGAGGCUCCCACAAUCAAAACCUUUUCAUCCACAGAUAUAAGUAUAUAAGUAUAAUUCCUUUUUGCAUGGGCAAUUUGUGUAAAUGAAGUGUAAUAAAUAAACAAUAUGAGAUGUUUUAUUGUGAGCGGAUUCAUUAGUUUUAUUAGCAGUUUAUGUUGGGUUUAACUUCCAUUAACUCCAUUAACUUCCAAAGUCUGAGAUUUGUCCUUUUACUUAACAUGAAUGGCGUUGAACACGGAUAUAUAACACACAUAUCAUUGAAAUAGCUGUAACAGGCAUGGACGUAUUGAUUACCUGAAUGAUUAUGGGAGACCUACGUAAUUUUCAUAAUAUUGUUAAUUGUCUAAUAUUAACAUUUCAGUUGCGUUGGUAGGUAUUUCAUUUUCAUUUGCUUGUAUAGCUAUGUAUGACAGGGUUAUGGUUAGCUAUGUAUGACAGUUGACAAUGUUGGUGUAUUACAAUUCAUUAUUUGGGUAGGCUAAUCCAACUUCGUUGCUGGUCGAUAUGUAAACAUUUACUUUUACAUAAAUUAUUGAUUGCAUUUUUCGUAAAUAGUUAGUUGGAAGGAAUCUGUUUCUUAAGCAAUAACAUUGAACUGAAUUUUUUAGGCCUUCAUACGUUUACUAUGUUACUAUGGUAUUAUAUGGAGCUUGGUUAUCAGCUAUCAUAGAAUGGUGUCCCAAUGGCUGCAUGUGUACGAAAUAGGAUUUGAACCAAGUGUUACAAUAAAAAAAGCUAGAUAUAGAGUGGGUGACUUUUGAUUGCAUUUUUCGUAAAUAGUUAGUUGGAAGGAAUCUGUUUCUUAAGCAAUAACAUUGAACUGAAUUUUUUAGGCCUACAUACGUUUACUAUGUUACUAUGGUAUUAUAUGGAGCUUGGUUAUCAGCUAUCAUAGAAUGGUGUCCCAAUGGCUGCAUGUGUACGAAAUAGGAUUUGAACCAAGUGUUACAAUAAAAAAAGCUAGAUAUAGAGUGGGUGACUUUUGAUUGCAUUUUUCGUAAAUAGUUAGUUGGAAGGAAUCUGUUUCUUAAGCAAUAACAUUGAACUGAAUUUUUUAGGCCUACAUACGUUUACUAUGUUACUAUGGUAUUAUAUGGAGCUUGGUUAUCAGCUAUCAUAGAAUGGUGUCCCAAUGGCUGCAUGUGUACGAAAUAGGAUUUGAACCAAGUGUUGCAAUAAAAAAAGCUAGAUAUAGAGUGGGUGACUUUAUCAGUAUACUCAAUCGAGAUGGCCACAAUAAUAACCUCUCUUAGAUGGGUUGUAGAUACUAAGUUUUAUAACAGAUAAUUCAAUGCAUGACGAUUUGGUGACAGAGGUAAAGCAUCUUCUUUUAAAUAUUAUAAGCCUCGGUUUAGUUAUUCAGUUCUGUUGGAUUCCAGCCCACCAUGGAAUAUAUGGCAAUGAAAUUGCUGAUAAAUUAGCUAAAAGAUACUAACCUAAUUAGGAGAAUUUAACCUUAAGUAUAUAUAUUUUUUAUUUUUAUUUAUUCAUUUCUUUUGAUUGCUCAGGGCAAGUGAUGUUUCUGUUCAGUUCUGUUCAGAUUGUACGAAAUAGGAUUUGAACCAAGUGUUACAAUAAAAAAAGCUAGAUAUAGAGUGGGUGACUUUUGAUUGCAUUUUUCGUAAAUAGUUAGUUGGAAGGAAUCUGUUUCUUAAGCAAUAACAUUGAACUGAAUUUUUUAGGCCUACAUACGUUUACUAUGUUACUAUGGUAUUAUAUGGAGCUUGGUUAUCAGCUAUCAUAGAAUGGUGUCCCAAUGGCUGCAUGUGUACGAAAUAGGAUUUGAACCAAGUGUUACAAUAAAAAAAGCUAGAUAUAGAGUGGGUGACUUUAUCAGUAUACUCAAUCGAGAUGGCCACAAUAAUAACCACUCUUAGAUGGGUUGUAGAUACUAAGUUUUAUAACAGAUAAUUCAAUGCGUGAAGAUUUGGUGACAGAGGUAAAGCAUCUUCUUUUAAAUAUUAUAAGCCUCGGUUUAGUUAUUCAGUUCUGUUGGAUUCCAGCCCACCAUGGAAUAUAUGGCAAUGAAAUUGCUGAUAAAUUAGCUAAAAGAUACUAACCUAAUUAGGAGAAUUUAACCUUAAGUAUAUAUAUUUUUUAUUUUUAUUUAUUCAUUUCUUUUGAUUGCUCAGGGCAAGUGAUGUUUCUGUUCAGUUCUGUUCAGAUUAUAUCUGUUCAGGCGUGGUUCAGGUGUGGGCGUGGUGUACUCCCAUGGUGCUUCGCGAGUUACACUCAGGGAAUGACUAGCGUCAGCAACGGCGCAAGACUCACUCUGAUCGGUUUUUCUCUUCUUGAGACAUCUUUUGUUCAGAUAGACCCUUUUCCUCUCCCUUCCACGGAUUAAUAUUGUGAGCGGAUUCAUUUGAGUACGUUCUGUCUUUCAACUUUGCGGUUCAACCAAAGAAGUUCGUUGUCAAGUCUAAACUCCACCAUAUGCAAUGUGUUUUAAAUGCUGUGCUGUUGGUCAUGUGGAGAAACGGGAGAUCGUCCGUCGUUCAACUCAAGGAGAAACGGGAGAUCGUCCGCCGAUCAACUCAAGAUGCCUCGUGCCUCGCGUGCUUCGGCUGCAGCCAAGUCGAAGAUGAGGAGGAUUCUUCCGAUGGCAACGACUCUGGCUAGAGGCUUCCUCCCUGUGCAUGGCACUGGAGCUCGUCACCGUGUCAAGCCUUGGCCUGUCUCUGCCCACACUGGGAAGUUCAACCGAUUGGAUCUCCCUCCUGAGUCUCCAGAUAAGCAGUUUGUGCUGUUUGUGGGCGACUCGCAUCUGCGUGCGUUGGUUGACCGUUACGUGAGGAUGCCAGACGGUUGCCUUUCGUUUGGGUUCCUGUCUACGCCUGGGGCGUCUGCCGCUGAGCUCCGCACUGAGUUGCUGAACGCAGACAUCCCCAGAACCCCCGACAUCGUUUGCUUGCUGGCUCCAAGCAACAACCUCACGGCGACGCCCGGCAUCGAAGCGGCUGGAGUUGCCUUCGAUGGACUUCUGAGAGCUGCCCGUAGUCGAUGGCCUAAGGUGUUUGUGCUCGAUUUCCCUCCCCGGCUGGCGAGUGAAUUGGCACCGCAACAAUUCCUUCGAGAGGAGUUUCGUCGCGUUGCAGCAAAGAACGAUGUAAAGUACUGCGUCACAGCUGACCGCUUUCCGCUGGACUCACGUGCCUUGUGGAUUCGUGAUGGGAUCCACCUGAGUGACGAUCUGGGGAUGCCGCUUCUCGCGAAGCUUCUGUGGCACUUCUCCUUUCUGCAGCUACAGUCACCUCUGCCUGUUACACCUCCGCCUGUGUCUCCUCCCAAGUCACCCCCGACUGUGAGACCCUUUGCUACCACCGUGGUUGUGAAGGGAGAGGUUUCACGUCCACGUCCCCUUGACCCCUUCAAGGAAACUGUCGUCGGACGUCGCGGAAAGCGCAGCCAACCUGAGUCCUGGGAUGCGCCUGAGGACUGGGAUCAGUCUUCCGUGCGGAUCCUUCCUCAUGAGGUUUGUACAUUGGUUUGUGUGCCUCCUCUGGUCCUGAGGGAGUGCUUUGUCGUGCUAAACCCUAUCCGGUUUAGCACUGACAAGUUGGCUGCAAUGGAUCGCAUUGUUCCAUCCAACCUUGACGUCCCCAUGGGGAAUCGCUCAAAGAAACGGAAGGUGGCACAUGGAACCACGGCUGUGGUCUCCAAAGGAAAGAAGGCCCGCCUUGAGGCACUUCAAACUCCAGCAAGGAUUGCCAAACCUUCGAAGCUGGUACCUCCCCCUCGACCUGUUCCAGAAGCUGCUGUACCAGCUACUCUGGAGGGCGUACCUCCUCCUCGACCUGUUCCAGAAGCUGCUGUACCAGCCACUCUGGAGGGCAGCGUCUUUGUGCCUUCGAGCAAGUUUGCUCAACCGGAGGAGGGGGAUGACAAGACUCUGUGUGUUGAUGAGUGGCCGCUUCUUCAAACAGAGUUUUGUGAGAAGGUGAACCAGCCAGCUGCUCGGGUUGUCUCUGGACAGAGAAAACAAGAGGAGCCAACACCUUGGGGUCCAAAAGUUGGGAUGGCCCAGGCUGAUAAACCAACAGCCAAUGAGACCAGCUUCUUGGGAUGUUCAACCAAGAUGACACACAUUGAGGACCGUGAGCCGUUUGAACCAGCACCUGAGGUCACUGCGAGCAGUCAGCAGGUAUGUAAUUACUAGUGGAAAAAUUGUAUACCAACGGGAAAAGCCACAGCUUAAGAGACCCAUUUUGUUUUGAUGUGUUUAUUCUUUUAAAACAUUGAUAUGGUGUAAGUGUGCAGUUCUGACUAAUUUGCCUAUACUAUGUACAUUUUCAAAUUACUUACUGGGAACCAACAUGCUUUUAAAAACACUGAAUUGUCAUUUCAGCAGAGCCCGCCUGAGGACAAUGGCCAGCUUGAAGAUCCUCAUGUAACACUUGGCAAUCAGAAGGCACCCUGUGAUUUUGCACCUGCCAGAGCUGCUACAU